UUCCCAUUUAUAUUUUUCUCUUAUGGUUUGAUUACAGAUCAAUACAUUAGACUAAGUGAAGCCUUUAGAAGACACUAUGAGUUCAGAAGAGACAUUUCUUUUUUUCUUACAAAGACAAAAUUUUAGUUAGAAGUCUACAUCGUAUUUUGAUCAGUGGAUUGGGGUAUAAUUGAAGAGAUAAAGGAUAAAAUUAAAGAUCAGAUACUAUGUUGCUAGACCUAUGAGCUGCAGAGGACCUCCAAUGAGCCUGGAGCAUUGGUUAGGAUAGCAAGCAUCACAUGUUCUUCACUUUUAAACCCAUUGGAAACAUUCAGAAAGUAAUUGCAUACUUAAGGGUCUUUACAAACAACACAAUGAUGAAAAUAGAAGACUCAAUGGUACCAGAAUAAAAUCAAAAAGAAUAUA